CAUAGCGACUAUCGUGGCAUAUCAAUAAGCGGAGGAAAAGAAACUAACAAGGAUUCCCCUAGUAACGGCGAGUGAAGCGGGAAGAGCUCAAAUUUGAAAUCUUCAAGGUUUUACCUUGACGAAUUGUAGUUUAUAGAAGUGUUUUCUGUUAGUGGAGUUUGGUAAAAGUUCUUUGGAAUAGGACAUCAUAGAGGGUGAGAAUCCCGUAUUUGAUCCAUUAUUUCCAGCUGUGUGAUACACUUUCAAAGAGUCGGAUUGUUUGGGAAUGCAGUCCAAAAUGGGUGGUAAAUUUCAUCUAAAGCUAAAUAUUGGCGAGAGAGCCGAUAGCGAACAAGUACCGUGAGGGAAAGAUGAAAAGAACUUUGAAAAGAGAGUUAAACAGUACGUGAAAUUGUCAAAAGGGAAGCGUUUGACACCAGUGUUGUUUUUCCGAAAAUCAAUUAAGAAUGUCCUGAUUUUAAGUUUCAUGACCUUAAUAGGCUUGUUUCUUAUUUUACUUGUAACUUUCUUAAUGCACUUUUCGGUUAACAAGUCAACAUCAAUUUCUUUUGUUGUAAAAGGUUAAGAGGAAGGUGGCUUUACUUUCGGGUAAAGUGUUUAUAGCCUUUUAACUCUGCAAUCGGAGAGAUUGAGGUCUGCAGCGUAGAUCCUUCGGGGCUAGAUACGUUUGUGCUAAGUUAUAGCUUUUCAUAGACAACUUGUUGACUAUGUUAAGUCUUGUACUUACUCGCAUGCUGCUAUUUUACCUACGCUUAGGAUGUUGACGAGACUGUCGAUCUC
rnacentral:rRNA from 1 species